GGUUGAUCCUGCCAGUAGUCAUAUGCUUGUCUCAAAGAUUAAGCCAUGCAUGUCUAAGUAUAAACCUCUGUUAUACCGUGAAACUGCGUACAGCUCAUUAAAUCAGUAAUAAUUUCUUUGAUGGUCACUUACUAGAUGGAUAACCGUAGUAAUUCUAGAGCUAAUACAUGCGUCAAAUUCCGACCGCAAGGAAGGAAUGUAUUUAUUAGAUAAAAACGCCAAUGUUCCGCAAGGAUCUUCAUGGUGAUUCAUAGUAACUGUUCGAAUCGUAUGGCUUCUGCUGACGAUAGUU
rnacentral:rRNA from 1 species